GCGGCGAGCGAAGCGGGAAGAGCUCAAAUUUAUAAUCUGGCACCUUCGGUGUCCGAGUUGUAAUCUCUAGAAGUGUUUUCCGCGUUGGACCGCACACAAGUCUGUUGGAAUACAGCGGCAUAGUGGUGAAACCCCCGUAUAUGGUGCGGACGCCCAGCGCUUUGUGAUACACUUUCAAUGAGUCGAGUUGUUUGGGAAUGCAGCUCAAAUUGGGUGGUAAAUUCCAUCUAAAGCUAAAUAUUGGCGAGAGACCGAUAGCGAACAAGUACCGUGAGGGAAAGAUGAAAAGCACUUUGGAAAGAGAGUUAACAGUACGUGAAAUUGUUGGAAGGGAAACGCUUGAAGUCAGACUUGCUUGCCGGAGCUUGCUUCGGUUUGCAGGCCAGCAUCAGUUUUCCGGGGUGGAUAAUGACGGUUUGAAGGUAGCAGUCUCGGCUGUGUUAUAGCUUUCCGUUGGAUACAUCCUGGGGGACUGAGGAACGCAGCGUGCUUUUUGCGAAAGACUCGUCUUUUUCACGCUUAGGAUGCUGGUGGAAUGGCUUUAAACGACCCGUCUUGA
rnacentral:sRNA from 1 species